rnacentral:rRNA from 1 species
GUGGGGAAUAUUGGGCAAUGGGCGAAAGCCUGACCCAGCAACGCCGCGUGAGGGAAGAAGGCCUUCGGGUUGUAAACCUCUGUCCUUGGUGACGAAGAAAGUGACGGUAGCCAAGGAGGAAGCCCCGGCUAACUACGUGCCAGCAGCCGCGGUAAUACGUAGGGGGCGAGCGUUGUCCGGAAUUACUGGGCGUAAAGGGUGCGUAGGUGGCCUUUUAAGUUGGAUGUGAAAUACCCGGGCUUAACUUGGGGGGUGCAUAUAAUACUGGGAGACUAGAGUGCAGGAGAGGGAAGCGGAAUUCCUAGUGUAGCGGUGAAAUGCGUAGAUAUUAGGAGGAACACCAGUGGCGAAGGCGGCUUUCUGGACUGUAACUGACACUGAGGCACGAAAGCGUGGGGAGCAAACAGGAUUAGAAACCCGUGUAGUCC